rnacentral:lncRNA from 12 species
CCCAUUCAGAGCCAGGAACUGUGAGGGGAAAAGCGAGUGGCAUGGGCAAGAAAAAAUGCUAAGAUGAAUAAAGCAGUCUUCGAGUCAAAUAACAGACAUAGACACAGAAAUGAAAUGCUAAGUGUUGGCUACAGGGAAGGAAAUAGUAGAGGGAGCUUCAGUGGCCUGGCAUAGUUUUCUGUUUCGCAGCUUGUAUUUGGGAGGCAGAUUGCACUUUUUUUUUUCCCUCAGCUCAUCUCCUUUCUUUGUGCUGUUAAGCAACGAGGCAGAGCAUUUUACCCUAUUUUUAUCAAAUAUUUUAGUUCUCAGGUUUCUGAAGAAUAGAAGCAUAAAAAUUGAAUUACAGGAAGAAUAGAUACCCCAUAGCAAUACCAUAGUGACUUCAGAGUGAUUUCUAAAAGAGAUAGAUUAUUAAUUUAACCAUACCCAUGUGUCAUGUUGUUAUUAGCCGGCUUGGUGUUCUUCUCUGGAUGCUUUUUUUUUUUUUUUUUUUAAUUUUUAAUGACAAGAAAUGCCAGUUCAGCAGCUAUUUGGAGAUGUUUAUCAUAGUGAUGGUUUUGUGUCAGUUCCUGUGAAAACAAUGGUCUAACCUAUCUAUUGAUAAAGGGAAAGGAUUUCAAAUCAAUUAAAGUGGAUGACAGAAAGAGAGACCUGGCGGCUAUCUGCAGAACUUAUAUAUUGCAGCCUGGCGAGGGACUGGGAAAAUUGGAGCCAUCAGAAUUUACGGAUUGUCCCUAAUCAAUGUGAGUAGAUUUCAAAAAGGAUCGGAUGGAACCUCGAAGAGAGAUAAUCCGAAGACAUGUGACGUCCUUCAUGUUCACAAAUGAAAGUAAUUCCUUAUUUCUGAGGCACAACAUGUACCUACACACAGGUAAGUGCAGGGAGGAAAAGGAGGUUGAAGAGAAACGAAGGAAGGUAAGGAAGAAAGGGAGGGGCCAAGUCAUGAAGCCUUCCUCUAUCAUGAGAAGGCAGAGGAUUGCACCCUGGAGCUCUGAGACCCCCAAAGAACCUGGAGUCCUAGACAAUGUGAGCACAUUUACAUCUUAGAAAAAUCACUUGGCAGCAGGGGGACAGAGCGAUGGAAGGCACAAUUCUGGAAGUGGAGAUUCUAACACAAGCGUUAUUCUUACAGCUAAUAUGUUGCCAGAGGUCUUGCUGCCUGCAGCCCUUCCUGUCCCCAGUGAGGCUUGAUCUGUGUUGCUCCCACCACAUCUGGAGGUGAAUGCAGAAGCUGUUAAAAGAGAAGUUAAGGUCACAGUCUCUGGAGCCUCGGGUUUCGUGUCUCAACAACAUCACUUUUUAGCUAUCAGCUACUUAUCCAAUCUGUCUCCAUCUCUUUUGAGUUUUAUGUACAGAGUUGGAAAAUGAGAAAAUAAAAUGUGUCUUUACUAUUCCA